rnacentral:rRNA from 1 species
UACGGGGGGGGCAAGCGUUGUUCGGAAUUACUGGGCGUAAAGGGUGCGUAGGCGGCUCUCUAAGUCGGAUGUGAAAACUCUGGGCUCAACCCAGAGCCUGCAUCUGAAACUGGAGAGCUAGGGUUUUGGAGGGGAAAGCGGAAUUCCAGGUGUAGCGGUGAAAUGCGUAGAUAUCUGGAGGAACACCGGUGGCGAAGGCGGCAUCCUGGACCGGCAUUGACGCUGAAUAGCGAAAGCCAGGGGAGCAAACGGG